UUUUUUUUUUUUUUUUUUUUAAAUUACAUUUCAGGAGAGCUCGUGCAUCUAAGUUGUCAGUGGAUCCCCCUUGCAUUUAUUCAGCAUUUACUGAGCAACUGCCAUGUUUGAAUUUUUAGAAGUUAGUGGGUUUGUGGGCAGACAAAUAGAUAUAAUCCAGGUCUCCUGUAGCACAGAGGGGAAGGGCGCAAAGAUCCUCAGAUGGCACCUCUGGGCACAGCCCAGCUUAUCCCUGGAUAUAGGGAAAAAGAGCCCAGAGCGUGGGAUCUUAAAGCAGCUUAGUCUCAGCUCCAUCGCUGACUAGCUCUUAAGUUUCAUGUUCUUUAUUUGUAAAAUGAUGACAUCUGUUUGAGAAGAUAUAAGUCUUUGAAAGGAUCUAUCAGGGAGUUCAGCAUAUUGCUGCUGAUGAACACAGGACAUAAACAGAUCCCCACAGAAAACAAACAGGCCACGUAAGAUGACAAGUGUGUUUUGAAUGACACAAUGUUUUUCCAAUGUGAAAUGGUGUUUCAUCUUAUUAUUUAUUAUUGACCCUAAUUUCAUUUGUUCACUAACCUCAAUAAAUGAAAGGCUUUUAGAUUUUUUUUUUUUAACCAAGAAACUGGGGAGUUGAAAAAUCAUGAAGAGUCCCAAUGAGGAAAGAUGAAGCCCAAACGGAGUGCCCUGUUACCACAACCACCCAUCCCAGGGGUUCCUACUCAGCCCUUGUUUCAAAUGCUCCAUGACACUGUCUCAGGAAACACGCACGGUGGACCAUGAACCACAUCUGGCUGAGCAAUGGAGAAAGCGACUCUGGCUCCUCUUCGAGUAACUGAAGGUGACACAGAGGUCUACGGCCAGGGCUUUCCAAUACGAUCCUCAAGAGAAUGAACAGGAGAAAGCCCUGGAAGUUGGCCAACUUGACCUGCUCAGUUGUAACUUUGAGAAAGAAGAAAGAAAGAAAGAAAGAAAGGAAGGAAGGAAGGAGAGAAAAUAAUAUCCAUCCAUUGAACUUUGGGACUUCUGAAAGUCUGACACUGGCUAAUUACUAACACGUCCCAGUGCAGAGAUUGCAUCGUCUUUAUCACGCCUAAAAUGGCAAAGUGAUGAGGAGUAACUACCUGUGAUUGUACAUCACCAACCAGAAGUUGUCAAGGGGGAUUAACAAAGGCAAUCACAGCCAUACACAAACACGCACGUGCGUGACCAAAAAGAAUUUGUAUAUCUUUACUGAGGACAAAUGCUCUCCAACCCAGACACAGAACAGGACUGACUCUUCUGACAACCGAAGAGCAGCCCAGGCGCUACUCACCGACAAGCCACCAUUAAAGGCAUCAGCAGUACAAAAGCCUCUGCCUGGGACCUACCUGACUCUCAGGUGCCUGAGGAUUCAUGGUCCAUUUCAUGAGGCUGAAAGCCAUCACCUCCACCCACGUCCCCCUGGGCUCUGCAGCAUUCCCUUGGGCUAAGCCCUAAAACCCAAGCCAAUGGCUCAUUCCAAGAGGAAGCAGCUGAUCUUAUCCGUGGGAAUGUAGAAGCAUGUUCUCAACCCUGGCCAUUUCCAGAAGAAUUCCUUUUAUCGGUCAAACAAAACUCAUUAUCAUCAGUCAAGUGGGUUCCUGAAACACACUAUGUCAACUUGUCCUUACUAGUUCCCACACUCUCCUAAAUCGUUAAGGCAAUUGAGGAAUAACAUGAAACUCACUGUUCUGCGGCCUGUAAGCAGGUGCAUAGUGACAGACCCAAGAGAGUGAGGCAACUCUGUCAAGUCCAUGCUGGUUCAUCAGUAGGGACUUGGAUAAAAAUAAGUGAGUUGAUAUGAAUGACUGAAUAAAAGAAGUAGGUAAUGACCUUGUUUAGACAUGAGGCUCAUACAUAAGUUUCUUCUAGUUACCUGAAAAAGUCAACACAGAUACGCCUGGACCUGUCCACACUGUGUUUAUUCCCUGUUAGGAAUUUGAGAGUGGUAGAAGAAUGGAGACAAUUUUUUAAAUAAUCUUUCUGCUACUUUGGCAAAGAGAAAAGACACUCAUAUGCAUUUCCCUCUGGGUCUGCCAUAGAGCUGGGGCUUCUGUAAGUAGCUACAUAGAAAAAUCAGGAUGUUCAGUGCUGCAUCACUGAAUCCUGUCUCCUUUUACAGAGGACAAAACAAAGGUUCAGCACCAUUGGGUAAUUUGCCCAUGGCCACUCACCUGGUCAGUGAGAAAUCCCAAACAAGGUCCCCUGAGUACCUUUCUCCCUUCCCACCUAAGAUGAACAAGGGAACGUCCAACCUGUUCUUCCCACUAUUCAUUCUAAGACGCAAGAGGUUCAUGGAGACUUCUCACCAAUUUCCAAUAACGCAAGUAUUUUUUUUUUUACUAGUUUCUAUUUAAUAAUAAAAAGUCUGUAUAUUUACAGCCUCUGUCUUUCUCAGGUAGAUGAUGCGAUAGUAAUGGACAGAUCCUACAUACAGAUUUAAUGUUAGUGAAGUAAUUUUGGAUCUGGCAUGACAAUGCUAUGCUAUGACUAAGGGAAGAAAUGAAUGAGAGUCAGGAUUUAAAAUAAUUUGCAGUAAAAAUUAAAUUUAAGGAUGGUAUCAGUAGGAAUUUUGGACAGAUAGGAUGGAAUAAAGGCAAAUGGAAAUAUGGUGAUGUUGGAAGGACAAUCAAGCAUCACUGUGGCCCAACCGUCCUCUCGGAGUGGACGGCGAUCACAGAAGCCAGGCAUCCAGAAGAGAAAGCUCUUGAAAUGCAGCCAAGAACUGCAGAAACUUCCCAAGUAAAGUGAGAUGUUUCUAAAUGGCUCAGGAGUGUCUUAUAAAAAAAUAAUAAAUUUGUUUCCGCUGAGCCAUGAUGGGAACUCCCAGCUGUUAAAAUUUUUAAAGCAUUAAACAGGAGGAAGGCAAAUGCUUCUCUCUGACAUUUGUUAUAAGGCAGUAGUUCUCAAAACGAGUGGUACGAAAAUUUUCUAGGAAGUUUCUAAAACAAUACGGAUGCUGUGGCCCUACCCCAGAUGUUCUGAAUCAGACCCUCUCUCCUGUGAUGGGUGUCUGGGAACGACAGUAUUUGGCACAUGGGAUGAGGGCUCUGCAAUCCACUCCAUCACCGUCUGACCCUCCAGGACAGCAGGCUUGCUCUUGGCUCCAGGUUAUGCCUGAAGGAAAAGCUUGAUGUUUGGGAUAAGGAAUAAACAUCAUGGUUCCGGGACUCUUCCAAACCUCACAGCACUUCCAUUCAGCCUCUGUCAGGAAGAAGCGCCCUAGGGGAUGAAAGCUGAGCCUUGGGUUCCAGUGGGGGAAAAAAAAUUACACCUCUUAUCCUUUGGCAGGUUUUCUGGCCGAUUCUGAGCUUUCGGAAGAGAAGGAUAGCUUCCUCCUCUCCCAAGUGAGGCUCUUACUUGGCUCCAAGGAAAACGAAUGAAAGUUAACACGUAGCAAACACUGACUACAGACCAGGCACGGAGUCAAUUUAAUUGUUUUAGAACUGUUGGGGGGGCUGUUGUUACCCCCGUUUCUCAGAUAUGAGGACCGAGGCUUCUCCACGGCUCUAGAGGAAUAAAAGAUGGCCCGAGCUGGACCUGGAGGCCCGGAGGCCCGGAGGCCCAGGUGCUUGACCAGUGGGCCCGACGCCUUCCAACAAACUCCAUCACAUGGUCCACAAGUUACACAGGAAGUGAGUAAGUGGAAAAAGAACGACUUUUAACCUUGAUUUCAUAACCAAACAGGGGGUGUCUCUUAGCACAAUGCGUGGCUGCCAGUGGUAGAGAAAGAGAGCAAACUAGAAAGUACAGGCCAGAUAUGUGGAACUACGCCUGCUGCCUCUUUGUUCUCAUGCUAUCGGUUCACUCUGAGGGGGGAUCGGAAUAGCUGCUUACUUUGGGUGAUUAAGGUGCUAAGUGCUGCCUCUUUUCUUUGCACCAACUGCAAUGAAGAAUGAUCCUAAAUCUCAGAUGCAGUGUGCCCAGCCUUCUCUAACCCCCCACCCAAUUUCUGCUCUUCACAAAAGUCCUCCAGGUCCCCUGACAUGAAUGGGAAAUAUAUUCACGUGGCUGGGAGGGGAGGCCAAGAGAUGCUGUGCUCAGGGUCUCAUCAAAGCCUUUUCCAUGUAUAAGAUGGAAUCCUGCAUUUAUGGAGAGCGCUUCUCUUCUAGCCCCUUUCCCAGUCACUUCCACAUUAAUUAGUAAGGGUAUCAUUUUAUAAAUUGCCACUUCAGAUCAGAGGAAAGCAGAGUUUAUCUUAAUUCAGUCAGCUGUGUGAAAUACAGUACCCUAAUUUUAGACCGCCAGCUCUGCAGAUCCCUACGGAGAAAGAGAAUGACAGGUCUUCCGGAGAGAAAUCCCAGUGGGUCCCCUACGAGUCUCACUCUUGCCUCCGACAGCAUCCCUGGUGGGGCUGCUGAAGGGAUCCCAGGACACUGAGUGGCAUCUUUGCCACCAUUAGCAAUUCAGAUUUGAAUGCGAGUCCUCCAAGCAGCACAUGAAAGCAGCCUCAGUUGGCUCUGGGGCUCUGAGGGGGGCCCAGGCAAGAGGCCCUGGCACAGAGGAGGCUGACAGGGGCCCAGGCUUGGGCACCGAGCGGAAAGUCUGGGAGGAUGGUGUGAAAGUCGGUGAUAAACACCAGACACUCCCAGUCCAAGGGGGAAGCCUGACUGUCUUAACUCUAACUGGGCCAGGCAGGCACCACGACAAUCACAGAGUCCUUAUGACUCUUCUGGAGCCCUCUGGGGAAAAGCUGGGUGGCAGGGCAGCUCCGGGUGAAGAAGACCUACAGGGCCACCACAGCUCAAGGGCAAGGCGCCUGGGCAGCCGAGGCAGGAGGGGCACGCCUGUCAGAUGGACGCCCCCGAUGGCCCUCUGUGCCCCGUUGUCGCCCCUCCUGUGGACGUGCCUACAGACAUCGCCUCAUUCUCCUUCCUUGUCCCGAAAUCACCCCGAACUCAGAGCAGAGGGUGCUGGCUCUGUUCUCACUGCCCGCUCUUCUGGGUAAAUACUUGGCUGCUUCCCACACUGG
rnacentral:lncRNA from 1 species